ACAACUUUCAACAACGGAUCUCUUGGCUCUCGCAUCGAUGAAGAACGCAGCGAAAUGCGAUAAGUAAUGUGAAUUGCAGAAUUCAGUGAAUCAUCGAAUCUUUGAACGCACCUUGCGCUCCUUGGUAUUCCGAGGAGCAUGCCUGUUUGAGUGUCAUUAAAUUCU
rnacentral:rRNA from 1 species